AGUUUGAUCAUGGCUCAGAUUGAACGCUGGCGGCAGGCCUAACACAUGCAAGUCGAACGGUAACAGGAAGAAGCUUGCUUCUUGCUGACGAGUGGCGGACGGGUGAGUAAUGUCUGGGAAACUGCCUGAUGAGGGGGAUAACUACUGGAAACGGUAGCUAAUACCGCAUAACGUCGCAAGACCAAAAAGGGGGACCUUCGGGCCUCUUGCCAUCGGAUGUGCCCAGAUGGGAUUAGCUAGUAGGUGGGGUAACGGCUCACCUAGGCGACGAUCCCUAGCUGGUCUGAGAGGAUGACCAGCCACACUGGAACUGAGACACGGUCCAGACUCCUACGGGAGGCAGCAGUGGGGAAUAUUGCACAAUGGGCGCAAGCCUGAUGCAGCCAUGCCGCGUGUAUGAAGAAGGCCUUCGGGUUGUAAAGUACUUUCAGCGGGGAGGAAGGGAGUAAAGUUAAUACCUUUGCUCAUUGACGUUACCCGCAGAAGAAGCACCGGCUAACUCCGUG
rnacentral:rRNA from 1 species